GACAGAGGGUGCAAACGUUGUUCGGAAUUACUGGGCGUAAAGCGAGUGUAGGCGGUUCGAUAAGUCGGAUGUGAAAGCCCCGGGCUCAACCCGGGAAGUGCACUCGAUACUGUCGAGCUAGAGUAUCGGAGAGGUUGGUGGAAUUCUCGGUGUAGAGGUGAAAUUCGUAGAUAUCGAGAGGAACACCGGUGGCGAAGGCGGCCAACUGGACGAAUACUGACGCUGAGACUCGAAAGCGUGGGGAGCGAACAGG
rnacentral:rRNA from 1 species